CCUACGGGUGGCAACAGUCGAGAAUCAUUCACAAUGGGGGAAACCCUGAUGGUGCGACGCCGCGUGGGGGAAUGAAGGUCUUCGGAUUGUAAACCCCUGUCAUGUGGGAGCAAAUUAAAAAGAUAGUACCACAAGAGGAAGAGACGGCUAACUCUGUGCCAGCAGCCGCGGUAAUACAGAGGUCUCAAGCGUUGUUCGGAAUCACUGGGCGGAAAGCGUGCGUAGGCUGUUUCGUAAGUCUUGUGUGAAAGGCGCGGGCUCAACCCGCGGACGGCACAUGAUACUGCGAGACUAGAGUAAUGGAGGGGGAACCGGAAUUCUCGGUGUAGCAGUGAAAUGCGUAGAUAUCGAGAGGAACACUCGUGGCGAAGGCGGGUUCCUGGACAUUAACUGACGCUGAGGCACGAAGGCCAGGGGAGCGAAAGGGAUUAGAUACCCCUGUAGUC
rnacentral:rRNA from 1 species